ACAUAAGUGUAGUGGUCUGAGUGUCAGACUAGGACUCUGGAGACCUGGGUUCAAAUCCUAGCUCGGGCA